rnacentral:rRNA from 1 species
CUAGUAAUCGCGAAUCAGAAUGUCGCGGUGAAUACGUUCCCGGGCCUUGUACACACCGCCCGUCACACCAUGAGAGUCGAUAACACCCGAAGCCUGUGAGCUAACCGCAAGGGGGCAGCAGUCGAAGGUGGGGUUGAUGAUUGGGGUGAAGUCGUAACAAGGUAGC